rnacentral:lncRNA from 1 species
CUGGAAUCUCCCAGAGACUGAGCCACCAACUAAAGAUGCAUACACUACAGGGCUGGGCUGGUCCAAGGCCCCAGCACAUAUAUAAAGGAAGGCUGCCUUAUCUGACCUCAGUAGGAGAGAAUGUGCCUAAUCCUGUAGAAACUUGAUACCCCAGGGUGGGAGGAGACCCCCAGUGGCAAUCUCUCAGACUUGAAGAAACACCAUAACAAAAAAAAAAAAAGUCAUGAUUCGGG